GGAGCGUGAUGGGGGGACGCAUAGGGUUAAGCGAGCUAGCUGAUGGAAGCGCUAGUCUAAGGGCGUAGAUUGGAGGGAAGGCAAAUCCACCUCUGUAUUUGAAACCCAAACAGGCUUUUUGAGUCCUUUUAGGACAAAGGGAGAAUCGCUGAUACCGUCGUGCCAAGAAAAGCCUCUAAGCAUAUCCAUAGUCGUCCGUACCGCAAACCGACACAGGUAGAUGGGAUGAGUAUUCUAAGGCGCGUGAAAGAACUCUGGUUAAGGAACUCUGCAAACUAGCACCGUAAGUUCGCGAUAAGGUGUGCCGCAGCGAUGUGGUCUCAGCAAAGAGUCCCUCCCGACUGUUUACCAAAAACACAGCACUUUGCCAACUCGUAAGAGGAAGUAUAAGGUGUGACGCCUGCCCGGUGCUCGAAGGUUAAGAGGAUGCGUCAGUCGCAAGAUGAAGCGUUGAAUUGAAGCCCGAGUAAACGGCGGCCGUAACUAUAACGGUCCUAAGGUAGCGAAAUUCCUUGUCGGUUAAAUACCGACCUGCAUGAAUGGCGUAACGAGAUGGGAGCUGUCUCAACCAGAGAUUCAGUGAAAUUGUAGUGGAGGUGAAAAUUCCUCCUACCCGCGGCAAGACGGGAAGACCCCGUGGACCUUUACUACAACUUAGCACUGCUAACGGGAAUAUCAUGCGCAGG
rnacentral:rRNA from 1 species